rnacentral:rRNA from 1 species
CAGCAGCCGCGGGAAUACGUAGGGUGCGAGCGUUAAUCGGAUUUACUGGGCGUAAAGCGUGCGCAGGCGGCCCGUUAAGACAGGUGUGAAAUCCCUGGCUCAACCUAGGAAUUGCGCUUGUGACUGGCGGGCUCGAGUACGGUAGAGGGGGGUGGAAUUCCUGGUGUAGCAGUGAAAUGCGUAGAGAUCAGGAGGAACACCGAUGGCGAAGGCAGCCCCCUGGGCCUGUACUGACGCUCAUGCACGAAAGCGUGGGGAGCAAACAGGAUUAGAUACCCCUGUAGUCCCUGUCUCUUAUACA